CCUACGGGAGGCAGCAGUGAGGAAUAUUGGUCAAUGGGCGCGAGCCUGAACCAGCCAAGUCGCGUGAGGGAAGACGGCCCUACGGGUUGUAAACCUCUUUUGCCGGGGAGCAACGGGCGCCACGUGUGGCGCCACUGAGGGUACCCGGAGAAAAAGCAUCGGCUAACUCCGUGCCAGCAGCCGCGGUAAUACGGAGGAUGCGAGCGUUAUCCGGAUUCAUUGGGUUUAAAGGGUGCGCAGGCGGGCCUUUAAGCCGGCGGUGAAAUCGCGGGGCUCAACCCCGCCGAGCCGUCGGAACUGGGGGCCUUGAGUGCGGCGGAGGCAUGCGGAAUGCGCGGUGUAGCGGUGAAAUGCAUAGAUAUCGCGCAGAACCCCGAUUGCGAAGGCAGCGUGCCGUGCCGCCACUGACGCUGAGGCACGAAAGCGCGGGGAUCGAACAGGAUUAGAUACCCCUGUAGUC
rnacentral:rRNA from 1 species